UGAGCAGGAAAGCAGGGGACCGCAAGGCCUUGCGCUCUUUGAGCGGCCAAUGUCAGAUUAGCUAGUUGGUGAGGUAACGGCUUACCAAGGCGACGAUCUGUAGCGGGUCUGAGAGGAUGAUCCGCCACACUGGAACUGAGACACGGUCCAGACUCCUACGGGAGGCAGCAGUGGGGAAUUUUGGACAAUGGGGGCAACCCUGAUCCAGCCAUGCCGCGUGAGUGAAGAAGGCCUUCGGGUUGUAAAGCUCUUUCGGCCGGGAAGAAAUCGCAUGGGCCAAUACCCUGUGUGGAUGACGGUACCGGAAUAAGAAGCACCGGCUAACUACGUGCCAGCAGCCGCGGUAAUACGUAGGGUGCGAGCGUUAAUCGGAAUUACUGGGCGUAAAGCGUGCGCAGGCGGUUUUGUAAGACAGGCGUGAAAUCCCCGGGCUCAACCUGGGAACUGCGUUUGUGACUGCAAGGCUAGAGUACGGCAGAGGGGGGUGGAAUUCCACGUGUAGCAGUGAAAUGCGUAGAGAUGUGGAGGAACACCAAUGGCGAAGGCAGCCCCCUGGGUCGAUACUGACGCUCAUGCACGAAAGCGUGGGUAGCAAACAGGAUUAGAUACCCUGGUAGUCCACGCCCUAAACUAUGUCAACUAGGUGUUGGGUGGGUAAAACCAUUUAGUACCGUAGCUAACGCGUGAAGUUGACCGCCUGGGGAGUACGGCCGCAAGGUUAAAACUCAAAGGAAUUGACGGGGACCCGCACAAGCGGUGGAUGAUGUGGAUUAAUUCGAUGCAACGCGAAAAACCUUACCUACCCUUGACAUGCCAGGAACUUGCCAGAGAUGGCUUGGUGCCCGAAAGGGAGCCUGGACACAGGUGCUGCAUGGCUGUCGUCAGCUCGUGUCGUGAGAUGUUGGGUUAAGUCCCGCAACGAGCGCAACCCUUGUCGUUAAUUGCCAUCAUUUAGUUGGGCACUUUAGCGAGACUGCCGGUGACAAACCGGAGGAAGGUGGGGAUGACGUCAAGUCCUCAUGGCCCUUAUGGGUAGGGCUUCACACGUCAUACAAUGGUCGGUACAAAGGGUCGCCAAGCCGCGAGGUGGAGCCAAUCCCAGAAAGCCGAUCGUAGUCCGGAUUGCAGGCUGCAACUCGCCUGCAUGAAGUCGGAAUCGCUAGUAAUCGUGGAUCAGCAUGUCACGGUGAAUACGUUCCCGGGUCUUGUACACACCGCCCGUCACACCAUGGGAGCGGGUUCCGCCAGAAGUAGGUAGCCUAACCGCAAGGAGGGCGCUUACCACGGCGGGGUUCGUGACUGGGGUGAAGUCGUAACAAGGUA
rnacentral:rRNA from 1 species